rnacentral:rRNA from 1 species
UAAUACGAGGGGGGCGAGCGUUGUUCGGAAUCACUGGGCGUAAAGAGUGCGUAGGCGGUUAUGAAAGUUAGAAGUGAAAGCCCUAGGCUCAACCUAGGAAUUGCUUUUAAUACUACAUGACUCGAAUUCGGGAGAGGAUAGCGGAAUUCUCAGUGUAGCAGUGAAAUGCGUAGAUAUUGAGAGGAACACCGGUGGCGUAAGCGGCUAUCUGGACCGACAUUGACGCUGAGGCACGAAAGCGUGGGGAUCAAACAGGAUUAGAUACCCUGGUAGUCCACGCCGUAAACGAUGUAUGUUUGUCGCUGGGGAGUUUACUCUUCGGUGACGGAGCUAACGCGUUAAGCAUACCGCCUGGGAAGUACGGUCGCAAGAUUA